rnacentral:rRNA from 1 species
GAUGAACGCUGGCGGCGUGCCUAAUACAUGCAAGUCGAACGAAACUUCUUUAUCACCGAGUGCUUGCACUCACCGAUAAAGAGUUGAGUGGCGAACGGGUGAGUAACACGUGGGCAACCUGCCCAAAAGAGGGGGAUAACACUUGGAAACAGGUGCUAAUACCGCAUAACCAUAGUUACCGCAUGGUAACUAUGUAAAAGGUGGCUAUACUACCGCUUUUGGAUGGGCCCGCGGCGCAUUAGCUAGUUGGUAGGGUAAAGGCUUACCAAGGCAAUGAUGCGUAGCCGAAUUGAGAGGUUGAUCGGCCACAUUGGGACUGAGACACGGCCCAAACUCCUACGGGAGGCAGCAGUAGGGAAUCUUCCACAAUGGGCGAAAGCCUGAUGGAGCAACGCCGCGUGGGUGAAGAAGGUCUUCGGAUCGUAAAACCCUGUUGUUAGAGAAGAAAGUGCGUGAGAGUAACUGUUCACGUUUCGACGGUAUCUAACCAGAAAGCCACGGCUAACUAUGUG